GAAAAUGGAAGGCUGUGUUAGCUUACUAGCUGGCUAGCUGUGCGAACCCAUGAAUACAUGGAAAACUAAUCGAUAAGGUUCAAGCUUCAAAGAGUGACAAUUGGAAUGACUGCACAUCCUGAAAAUUAGACAUUUGCAGCCAUCUGUGACUUAUUUCUAGAGAGUUGUUAGCUGUAGAUGUCAAAAUAGACCCAAUGGAACAUAACACCGAUGGAUAUAAUGCAGAGGAAGAACAGAGCCAGUCAGAAGGGGCAGAGUCGAGUGUUAGGCCGACCAUGUCUCAGGUUAAAAAGUCAUGGGGCUUCAGGCGGACCACCAUUGCAAAAAGGGAGUUCUUGGAUGAAAUCGGAGACCUAACCAACAGUCCUCCGCUUGUACGCAGAGGCCGAAGCCGUCGAACCAACCAGACACCCCCGCCCACUCCAGAAACCCCCCCCACCCAGAGAGCUAAUAGUGCAACUAAGAGUGUUCUAGAUGAGCUUGAGUGGUCUGCCCCAUCAUCACCUGUGUCCGAGGAGAGCAAGCCGGCCUCCGAAGCUUCUGCAGGAGGGAGCCUUGACCCCAGCUUAUGGCAAGAUUUUGGGUCUGCCUUCCACACUGCCUUCUCACUGCUCGGCGGGAAUGAAGGCUUGUCAAUAGAAAUGUCAGAUGCUCUGGCAGUUCCCGACAUUUUGGAAGCCACUGAUGCCACCGAGGCUCCUCCUCCAGAGGUUAUAGAAGACACAGAGGUGCCUGAUAAUAUUGAAUCUGCUGAUGACAUGGAGAUCUUGCGACCUGUUACUCCUGACAAUGAGGCAGGAGGGGACAUCGAUGAUGUGGUGUUGAUUUCUAGUCAAGAAGAGGACAGUGAUGAAAUGACUCUGAUACAGAUUAAAGAGCAACUGAUAUCAAAAGGCAAGCAGGGAGACACGAGAGCUAGAGGGGGUAGAGGUGGAAGAGGCAAG
rnacentral:lncRNA from 1 species